GCUUUUCUUGAUUAGUGGCGCACGGGUGAGUAAUGCAUAGAUAAUGUGCCCCUUAGUUCGGGAUAGCCACUGGAAACGGUGAUUAAUACCGGAUACUCCUUCUUGUUAUAAGACAAGUCGGGAAAGUUUUUCGCUAAGGGAUCAGUCUAUGUUCCAUCAGCUUGUUGGUGAGGUAAUGGCUCACCAAGGCUAUGACGGAUAUCUGGUUUGAGAGGAUGAUCAGACACACUGGAACUGAGACACGGUCCAGACUCCUACGGGAGGCAGCAGUGAGGAAUAUUGCACAAUGGAGGAAACUCUGAUGCAGCAACGCCGCGUGGAGGAUGACGCAUUUCGGUGUGUAAACUCCUUUUAUUAGGGAAGAUAAUGACGGUACCUAAUGAAUAAGCACCGGCUAACUCCGUGCCAGCAGCCGCGGUAAUACGGAGGGUGCAAGCGUUACUCGGAAUCACUGGGCGUAAAGGGUGCGUAGGCUGGCUUUUAAGUCAGAUGUGAAAUCCAAUGGCUCAACCAUUGAACUGCAUUUGAAACUGAAAGCCUAGAGUUCAGAAGGGGCAGAUGGAAUUAGUGGUGUAGGGGUAAAAUCCGUAGAUAUCACUAGGAAUAUCAAAAGCGAAGGCGAUCUGCUGGGAUGAUACUGACGCUG
rnacentral:rRNA from 1 species